GGGCGUAAAGGGCGCGUAGGCGGGCUGUCAAGUCCGGGGUGAAAUCCUCCCGCUCAACGGGAGAACGGCCUCGGAUACUGACGAUCUCGAGGGGGAUAGGGGCACGCGGAACUGUGGGUGGAGCGGUGAAAUGCGUUGAUAUCCAUAGGAACUCCGGUGGCGAAGGCGGCGUGCUGGAUCCCUUCUGACGCUGAGGCGCGAAAGCCAGGGGAGCAAACGGGAUUAGAUACCCCGGUAGUCCUGGCCCUAAACGUUGAGAACUAGGUUGUAGACUAGACAUGGGUUUACAGCCGAAGCAAAAGUGCUAAGUUCUCCGCCUGGGGAGUAUGGUCGCAAGGCUGAAACU
rnacentral:rRNA from 1 species